GAUGAACGCUGGCGGCGUGCCUAAUACAUGCAAGUCGAGCGAACAGACGAGAAGCUUGCUCCUCUGACGUUAGCGGCGGACGGGUGAGUAACACGUGGAUAACCUACCUAUAAGACUGGGAUAACUUCGGGAAACCGGAGCUAAUACCGGAUAAUAUAUUGAACCGCAUGGUUCAAUAGUGAAAGACGGUUUUGCUGUCACUUAUAGAUGGAUCCGCGCCGCAUUAGCUAGUUGGUAAGGUAACGGCUUACCAAGGCAACGAUGCGUAGCCGACCUGAGAGGGGGAUCGGCAACACUGGAACUGAGACACGGUCCAGAAUCCUACGGGAGGCAGCAGUAGGGAAUCUUCCGCAAUGGGCGAAAGCCUGACGGAGCAACGCCGCGGGAGUGAUGAAGGUCUUCGGAUCGUAAAACUCUGUUAUUAGGGAAGAACAAAUGUGUAAGUAACUAUGCACGUCUUGACGGUACCUAAUCAGAAAGCCACGGCUAACUACGUG
rnacentral:rRNA from 1 species